rnacentral:tmRNA from 1 species
GGGGGCGAUUGGAUUCGACUUAUGCGUGAUGAUUGAAUGUGGCAUGCCGAGGUUUCAGGUGGCCUCGUAAAAAACCUGAACACUACACAAAUGCCGACUACAACCCAGUUGCUGAGGCCGAGACUAUCUUGGCCGAGGCCGAGUUGGCGACAGCUGUUGCCUAACACUUAGGCAACCCGUUUCUCUGCAUGGGCCUGCGCGGUGGAGAGACGACCUCUUGCAGGCUGGCCCAAUCUUGUGUCUCUGGGGGUUGGGUGAGAAGGGUGCAGGGGCUGGCCCUUUUGGGAUCCUGUUUAUUGGAGCUUAAGAGGGUGAGAUUUAAAAAAUAAACUAAGCAUGUAGAGGCAUCAGUCGAGCGUUUAAGGACCCGGGUUCGAGUCCCGGCGCCUCCACCA